rnacentral:rRNA from 1 species
AGCGAACGCUGGCGGCAGGCCUAACACAUGCAAGUCGAACGAACCCUCCGGGAUUAGUGGCGGUUGGGUGUGUAACAUGUCGGAACGUGGCUUUAGAUUUGGAAUAAUUCAUGGUAACUUGUGCUAAUACCGAAUGUGCUCCUCGGAUGCCAGAUUCAGCGCAUUUAGAGCGGCCCGCGAUUGUCUAGCCAGUUGAUUGAGGUUAUGGCUCACUAAGGCGACGAUCAGUACCUGGUCAGAGAGAAAGAUCAGCAACAUUGGGACUGAGACACGGCCGAGACUACUACGGGAUGCGGGAGUGGGGAAUCUUGCGCAAUGGGCUAAAUCCUGACGCAGCCAGGCCUCGUGAAUGAUGAAGUUCGGAGGAAUGUAAAAUUCUUUCACCGGGGACGGUAAUGACGGUACCCGGAGAAGAAGCCCCGGCUAACUUCGUG